rnacentral:rRNA from 1 species
CCUACGGGAGGCAGCAGUGGGGAAUAUUGGGCAAUGGAGGAAACUCUGACCCAGCGACGCCGCGUGCGGGAUGAAGGCCUUCGGGUUGUAAACCGCUUUCAGUAGGGAAGAAGCGAAAGUGACGGUACCUACAAAAGAAGCACCGGCUAACUAUGUGCCAGCAGCCGCGGUAAUACAUAGGGUGCAAGCGUUGUCCGGAAUUAUUGGGCGUAAAGAGCUCGUAGGUCGUUUGUUACGUCGGAUGUGAAAACCUGAGGCUCAACCUCAGGCCUGCAUUCGAUACGGGCAAACUAGAGUUUGGUAGGGGAGACUGGAAUUCCUGGUGUAGCGGUGGAAUGCGCAGAUAUCAGGAGGAACACCAAUGGCGAAGGCAGGUCUCUGGGCCAAUACUGACACUGAGGAGCGAAAGUCUGGGGAGCGAACAGGAUUAGAUACCCUGGUAGUCCAGACCGUAAACGGUGGGCACUAGUUGUGGGAACCUUCCACGGUUUCUGCGACGCAGCUAACGCAUUAAGUGCCCCGCCUGGGGAGUACGAUCGCAAGAUUAAAACUCAAAUGAAUUGACGGCUGAGAGNGCGAGCGACACGAGGAGAG